GACGAACGCUGGCGGCGUGCUUAACACAUGCAAGUCGAACGGAAAGGCCUCAGCUUGCUGGGGUACUCGAGUGGCGAACGGGUGAGUAACACGUGGGUGAUCUGCCUUGCACUCUGGGAUAAGCUUGGGAAACUGGGUCUAAUAUCGGAUAUGAACUGCCUUUAGUGUGGUGGUUGGAAAGUUUUUUCGGUGCAAGAUGAGCUCGCGGCCUAUCAGCUUGUUGGUGGGGUAAUGGCCUACCAAGGCGUCGACGGGUAGCCGGCCUGAGAGGGUGUACGGCCACAUUGGGACUGAGAUACGGCCCAGACUCCUACGGGAGGCAGCAGUGGGGAAUAUUGCACAAUGGGCGGAAGCCUGAUGCAGCGACGCCGCGUGGGGGAUGACGGCCUUCGGGUUGUAAACUCCUUUCGACAGGGACGAAGCUUUUUGUGACGGUACCUGUAUAAGAAGCACCGGCUAACUACGUG
rnacentral:rRNA from 1 species